rnacentral:lncRNA from 1 species
AUGGCUAAUACAUCCAAUUGUAAGACUGGUCCGGAGCAUGGACAAAGAAACCGACCGGUUAGAACAUCAUGAUUUUAGUUGUAAAUAAGGUAUUAUAAUUUUUUUACAUGAAUAAUAAAAGCAUAAAUAAAUUUGAAAUGAGCAUAAAACAUUAAAAAAAAAUUUAAAAAUGUUGGACGGGCACGUCCAUGUGUUGUGAUAUCCUAAAUAGACAUUUUGCAUAUGUCAAAUCGCUCUUAUCUUUUUUUUCUGAGAGAAGCUCUUAACGAUUUUUUUUUUUUUGAAACUGAAGCUCUUAACGAUUUUUUCAUGAAGUUAAAUUAAAUCUAGCCGCCU